rnacentral:rRNA from 1 species
CUAAUACGGGAUAAUAUAUUUGAGAGGCAUCUCUUGAAUAUCAAAGGUGAGCCAGUACAGGAUGGACCCGCGUCUGAUUAGCUAGUUGGUAAGGUAACGGCUUACCAAGGCGACGAUCAGUAGCCGACCUGAGAGGGUGAUCGGCCACAUUGGAACUGAGACACGGUCCAAACUCCUACGGGAGGCAGCAGUGGGGAAUAUUGCACAAUGGGCGAAAGCCUGAUGCAGCAACGCCGCGUGAGUGAUGAAGGCCUUCGGGUCGUAAAACUCUGUCCUCAAGGAAGAUAAUGACGGUACUUGAGGAGGAAGCCCCGGCUAACUACGUGCCAGCAGCCGCGGUAAUACGUAGGGGGCUAGCGUUAUCCGGAUUUACUGGGCGUAAAGGGUGCGUAGGCGGUCUUUCAAGUCAGGAGUGAAAGGCUACGGCUCAACCGUAGUAAGCUCUUGAAACUGGGAGACUUGAGUGCAGGAGAGGAGAGUGGAAUUCCUAGUGUAGCGGUGAAAUGCGUAGAUAUUAGGAGGAACACCAGUUGCGAAGGCGGCUCUCUGGACUGUAACUGACGCUGAGGCACGAAAGCGUGGGGAGCAAACAGGAUUAGAUACCCUGGUAGUCCACGCUGUAAACGAUGAGUAC